AAUACAACUCAAUAGGAAGCACAGAAUUACAUGGAGAGCCACAAGACAAUCAAAGACAUACAAACAAACACUAUGUUCUGCCAAGUUUUUCUUCUUUUUAAAAAAGUUCCUGAAAUGACAGACAAGUUUGGUCUUGGAGAGCUUCAACACUAAUCCAAACCACCUGAAGCGGCGAUUCGUGUUGAAUUACUAAAGAGCUACGGGCAGAACCAAGCACCUCACCUCUCAGUGAUCUCACAAGAGCCAAGGACGUGAGAAGGGGGAAUGAAAGGUCGAGUAUAAGCUGAACAACCUGCAUGUCUAACGUCUCUGAACUCAUGCCACUGUUCUGCAUGAACGCUUAGGCUUUUCCCAACACCUCCAGAUCUGCAAAGGUCAGUGCCUGCAAAUCUUCCAAUGAAAGCCAGGGAAAUCAGAGUUGUUGUAUGAAGACUGUCUCAGAGUAAUAAUGCUUGAUCCACAAAGGGGAUCAAUGGAUCUGCCCCUUUUAAUCACUCAGGUCGGGUUAAUGAAAUGCUUGGUGCGUCUAAUCAUCUCAAAAGCUACAUAUGGUCUGCUUCUCAGUUUGAUGGGAUCACAGAGGAAUGCCCUAUUAGAGUGAGCGAGGAUGAUAAGACUGAGAAGUUCAACAAAAUUCCAAGAUUCAUGUGCCGCUGCGCUUCUGUUUUCACGCACAUGAGCACCGACCUCAAUUACCUCUGAAUCUAAAGGGCAGGCUUUCAGAUAUGCGCCAAUGCGGAGCAUGUUUUAAAG
ensembl:processed_transcript